rfam:Cavia porcellus supercont2_1 genomic scaffold, whole genome shotgun sequence.
GGGGAUUUAGCUCAGCGGCAUAAGCGCCUGCUUUACAAGCAGGCAGUCGUGAGUUUGAACCCCAGUACCCA